AUUGAACGCUGGCGGCAGGCUUAACACAUGCAAGUCGAGCGCGCGGCGGACGGGUGAGUAAUGUCUGGGACACUGCCUGAUGGAGGGUGAUAACUACUGGAAACUGUAGCUAAUACCGCAUACCAUCAGAUGUGCCCCGAUGGGAUUAGCUAGUAGGUGGGGUAAUGGCUCACCUAGGCGACGAUCCCUAGCUGGUCUGAGAGGAGGACCAGCCACACUGGAACUGAGACACGGUCCAGACUCCUACGGGAGGCAGCAGUGGGGAAUAUGGGACAAUGGGCGCAAGCCGGAUGCAGCCAUGCCGCGUGUGUGAAGAAGGCCGUCGGGUUGUAAAGCACUUUCAGCGAGGAGGCGUUACUCGCAGAAGAAGCACCGGCUAACUCCGUGCCAGCAGCCGCGGUAAUAC
rnacentral:rRNA from 1 species